UGGGGAAUAUUGCACAAUGGGGGAAACCCUGAUGCAGCGACGCCGCGUGAGCGAAGAAGGCUUUCGAGUCGUAAAGCUCUGUCCUAUGAGAAGAUAAUGACGGUAUCAUAGGAGGAAGCCCUGGCUAAAUACGUGCCAGCAGCCGCGGUAAUACGUAUGGGGCGAGCGUUGUCCGGAAUUAUUGGGCGUAAAGGGUACGUAGGCGGUUUUUUAAGUCAGGUGUCAAAGCGUGGAGCUUAACUCCAUUAAGCACUUGAAACUGAAAGACUUGAGUGAAGGAGAGGAAAGUGGAAUUCCUAGUGUAGCGGUGAAAUGCGUAGAGAUUAGGAGGAACACCGGUGGCGAAAGCGGCUUUUUGGCCUGCAACUGACACUGAGGCGCGAAAGCGUGGGGAGCAAACAGG
rnacentral:rRNA from 1 species